rnacentral:misc_RNA from 1 species
GAUGAAGAACGUAGCGAAAUGCGAUAAGUAAUGUGAAUUGCAGAAUUCAGUGAAUCAUCGAAUCUUUGAACGCACAUUGCGCCCGCCAGUAUUCUGGCGGGCAUGCCUGUUCGAGCGUCAUUACAACCCUCAGGCCCCCGGGCCUGGCGUUGGGGAUCGGCGGAGCCCCCCGUGGGCACACGCCGUCCCCCAAAUGCAGUGGCGGUCCCGCCGCAGCUUCCAUCGCGUAGUAGCUAACACCUCGCGACUGGAGAGCGGCGCGGCCACGUCGUAAAACACCCAACUUUUCUGAAGUUGACCUCGAAUCAGGUAGGAAUACCCGCUGAACUUAAGCAUAUCAAUAAGCGGAGGA